GGGCCGUUAGCUCAGUUGGUAGAGCAUCUGACUUUUAAUCAGGUGGUCGCGCGUUCGAAUCGCGCACGGCCCACCA
rnacentral:tRNA from 2 species